rnacentral:lncRNA from 1 species
ACAAGCUAAGAGAUACAAAGGCAAGUGUGACUGCUCUGACAGCAAAAACAAGCAAAUAUCUCCAGAGGGGAUUAAUCCCUCUGCUUUAAAGUAACCAAAACAAAGAAAGCUGAGCCAGCUUCUCUGGGAACAACACCUGUCCAUGAGACAAGGAUGAGAUAAU